GUAAAAAUGGGCGGAAUAUUGAGGUAAAAAUGGGCAGAAUAUGGGGACUAUUCCUCUUUCAGGGUCUGAAUCUGGUGAUAAUAUUGAGGUAAUCUUACAUUUUUACUUAUCCUUUUGAUUUCGAUUUUAGUGGGUUGAUAUUACUUUUCAAAAUUUCAAUUUUGUUUGGGGAUAUUGUUUAGUAGAAUUCUGGGUUAAGAGAAAAUGAGGGUAAUUUGGUAUAAACCGGAGGAACAUUAUGACCCAACAGGAGGAGACAUGGCGAAUUUGAAUACUUUGACUUGAGUGGGUGCUAUUUCUUUCUCUGUUCCAUCUAAGGUUAGAAAUUUAUUCAGAGUGGCGGGUGUACUUUCUUCAUUUCAGUAGCAGUGUAACAUCAGCUGAGAUUAGCAAUUGAGCAUAUGCACUACUUUACAUUUCUAGGAUUUUGUUUGCAUGUUUUUGGAGCCAUUAUCUUCCAGUGUACUUCUAUGUGUAAUUCAUUCAAUUAUUUGUUAUUGUUAUGCAUUUGUUCACCUUAAAUUCUUUCAUUUUUUAUAAUAAUUGCAAUUAACUGCGGAAUUCUGCAGUAAUGGUAUUCUGUCGUGAUUAUUUGGGUGGUUGUUUGAUUUUUUAACCUAAAUAAGUGUUAAUUGUUGGUUUCUUUGUCAAAGUUUAUUAAUUUAACUGAUCUUCCCAUUCUGAAUACUACUUGAUGCAAGGUUGUCAGGAUCGGGAUCCUACUUUGGAUCGUUGAAGAGGGGUAGGAUCGGAUCGGUAGAAUCGGAUCGUAGGAUCGUAAGAUCCUACUAAAUACUAAAAAUAAUGGUUAUAUUAUUAAAAUGAAAUGUAAAAUCAUGUAUUCAGGUAAUUUUAAUACUUAAAUAUCAUUUUUUGCUCACAUAAGAUUAAUACUUGUGUAGAUUCAAGAACAAUUAAUAAGAUGCGCAAGGUUGUUGAAAUUAUAUGAAUUUCUCUACUUUUAAAUGAAUAAUAUACUUUUUAAUUUAUAACUAAUUUAUUGAGAGAAAAGUAUGAUAUUUCUAAUGAUAUGUGAUUAUGAACUAUUUAGUAAUAAAAAAAAUUGUUAUAUUAAAAAAUUGUAUGUUGGAUCGGAUCGUUGGAUCGGAUCGUAGAAUCGUAGAAUCUUAGGAUCGUAUUAAGAUCCCACCACAAAAAAAAAGUUAUCGAGAUAGGAUCGUAAGAUCCUACACACAUUAAGAUCUUACCUAAGAUCCGGAUCGGUGACGUGUUUUUGGAUCGUAGAAUCGUAGGAUCGUAAGAUCCGGAUCGGGAGUUUAACAACCAUGACUUGAUGUUUACUGGUUAAUUUGAAUCAGAGUACAUUGAUAAUAGGUGACUGUUCUGGCACACUUAGUAUAUGAUUUAAUCAAGGGAAUGGUAAAUGUCAAUUAAUAAGAGUUGUAUACCAUGUAAUAGCUGGCUCUUGAAUCAGAGUACAUUGAUGAUGGAUUCAUUAACAGGAUAAUUCAUCAGGUAUUGGCCGUAUAUAUCACGCUGAAAGUGCUGAAAUAAAUUUUUCUGAUGUUUAUGCUACCCGGUUGGCUGAUUGGGGAUCGGUUCGUCAAUUAACUAAAUUUUGCUUUCUGCAUUAGGAUUCUGAGGUUAGUUAUUUACUUUCCAAUUGUUGCUCUGUGUCUGUUGAUCAUGAUGGUUCAUUUGUCCUUUUUUUUUUUUUUUGCAGAUGUACCUUUUUGUGGUUCAUGCUAUGCAGAGAACAAAGACCAAGGCAUCCUUCUGGCAGUUGAUGGAGUACACUUUUAAUCUGCUUUUGGUUACGAAUAGAUUAAUUUUCCAACUCAGACUCACUAUAUGUCUUUUUGGGUCUUUUUAUUAUAUUUCUGGGUGUUUAUUUUGUCAUUUUGGAUUAAUACUCUGUGAAUGUGUUCAAAUAUAAUGGGUAUUGUUUACACUUUAAAAAUUCUGAUUUAAAUUUCUCGAACUUCUACAAAUUAAUCUAUUAAUUUUCUGGAUUUUAUAUUUGGUACAGUUUCAUCAAUACCAAGUUGUUGGUAGAGCUCUACAGGAUGAAGCUUCUUCAUCUUCUGCAACAUGUUCGAUUCAUCUUUGCAAUUAUUCUCAAUUUGAGCAGAUUUGUCCAAGGAUGAAGCUAAAUAUCCCUUUUUUCUUUGAAGAUAUAUGGGCUAAAUGUUGAAUAUAUGGGUCCAACUAGCCCAAUUGGAUCAUUGCUAUGCAGUUCUGUUGAAUUGUGCACAGAGGAAAAAUGUCUUGAAUUAUCAGCAGCAAGCCAGUCCAUUGGUCCCCAAACCCCUUGCUUUCAAGGGGUAGGAUAUUUUAUGGGUCUGGCGGGUCUUACGAUAUGUUUGUUGGGAGGGAUGCGACCCGGGCUUUGGCCCUCAUGUCUUUAGAUCCUCAGGAUCUUACUGCCAACACUGAUGAUUCAACAGUGAAUCUGAGCUUGAUGUUCUUCAGGAUUGGGAGCUUAAGUUUCAAGGGAAAUACCCCAAAGUCGGUGUUCUUGGAGGCCAACCGCAGUUGCAGGAGGAGAUUGUAGAAACUAAAUAAGUUGUAUAGGUUACUCCUAAUUUUCAGUUUUCUUUAUUUCAUGUUUGAUGAUUAUCUCUUAAUGUCAGAGAAGGCCUAUUAUUAAUCAAGUACCUUUUAAUGAUAUACUGAUCCAAUUUAGUAUUAAUCUUUCAUUGUAGCUGUUUAUUGUUUGUGGUGAUUAAUUGUAAUAAUACAAUUUUGAU